rnacentral:rRNA from 1 species
CCUACGGGAGGCUGCAGUGGGGAAUAUUGGACAAUGGGGGCAACCCUGAUCCAGCCAUGCCGCGUGUGUGAAGAAGGCCCUCGGGUUGUAAAGCACUUUCAGUGAGGAAGAACGCCUGGUGGUUAAUACCCAUCAGGAAAGACAUCACUCACAGAAGAAGCACCGGCUAACUCCGUGCCAGCAGCCGCGGUAAUACGGAGGGUGCGAGCGUUAAUCGGAAUUACUGGGCGUAAAGCGCGCGUAGGUGGCUUGAUAAGCCGGUUGUGAAAGCCCGGGCUCAACCUGGGAACGGCAUCCGGAACUGUCAAGCUAGAGUGCAGGAGAGGAAGGUAGAAUUCCCGGUGUAGCGGUGAAAUGCGUAGAGAUCGGGAGGAAUACCAGUGGCGAAGGCGGCCUUCUGGACUGACACUGACACUGAGGUGCGAAAGCGUGGGUAGCAAACAGGAUUAGAUACCCGUGUAGUC